rnacentral:rRNA from 1 species
UACGUAGGGGGCAAGCGUUGUCCGGAAUCAUUGGGCGUAAAGCGCGUGUAGGCGGCUCGGUAAGUCUGGUGUGAAACCUCGGGGCUCAACCCCGAGCCUGCACUGGAUACUGCCUCGCUCGAGUCCGGGAGGGGAGAGCGGAAUUCCUAGUGUAGCGGUGAAAUGCGCAGAUAUCAGGAGGAACACCGGUGGCGAAGGCGGGUCUCUGGGCAACAACUGACGCUGAGGAGCGAAAGCGUGGGGAGCGAACAGG